rnacentral:lncRNA from 1 species
AUGGGGCAAGCAGAGGCCACACUGGUUGCAUGGACAAGAUGUGAUGUCUCUCCCUUUGUGGUGGGAAGGGAAAGCAUCUGUCCUACAAAACCUUCCUGGUCAUCCCCAGAGAUGAUUCUCUCUCUUCUUGAAAAGGCCAGAGAAUUUGAAAUAUGCUCCUUUUCAUGGGGACUAACACCUACUUUCUCUCUCAGGAGAUUGGGACAGGGAGGAAAUGGGAAAAAUACCAAAACAAAACCAAGCAAAGAGCUGGAUUCUUUAUUACAAAUAAAUUAUGUAGAUGGUGUGAUCAAAGAAGGCCUCUCUGAAGAGGUGAAUAAGGAAGUGGCUAUGAAAGCAGGGGAAGGAAUGAGAAAGGGAGAGAGAGAGAGAGAGAGAGAGAGAGAAUGAAUUGAGAGAGAAUGAUGCAGGCAAAGGCCCCAAGAAACAAAAAGUCCUGUGCUUUGUACUGAAGAAGGAAAUUUCGGCCUGUAUGACUGGAACUGAGGGAAACUUCCAGUGUGCCAGAGGACCCAAGUACUACAUUUAAUUUUGUUGGUCAAAAAUGAUUACAAAAACGUACUACAUUUUUCUGGAAUAUGUUGCUUGACCAGACACAGUAGAUUUAGCUGUAUUAUUUAACAUAUUUCAUCCAGUGCAAAAAAACACAGGAACUACUUCUACCAAAUUACUGAUCACAGAAAGUUUAAAUCAUAAAAGAUAGUAUCAGAGCUGGCACUAUGGCAUAGUGGGUAAAGCCGCUGCGUGCAGUGCCGGCAUCGCAUAUGGGCACUGGUUCGAGUCCCAGCUGCUCCACUUCCUAUCCAGCUCUCUGCUAUGGCCUGGGAAAGCAGAAGAUAGUCCAAGUCCUUGGGCCCCUGCAUCCGCGUGGGAGACCUGGAAGAAGCUCCUGGCUCCUGGCUUCGAAUUGGCGCAGCUCUGGCCAUUGUGGCCAUCUGUGGGGUGAACCUGCGGCUAGAAGACCUCUCUCUCUCUCUCUCUCUCUCUCUCUCUCUGCCUCUGCCUCUCUGUAACUCUGCCUUUCAAAUAAAUAAAUACAUCUACAAAAAAGAUAACA